rnacentral:rRNA from 1 species
GGGGCUAGCGUUGCUCGGAAUUACUGGGCGUAAAGCGCACGUAGGCGGUCUUUUAAGUCGGGGGUGAAAUCCUGGAGCUCAACUCCAGAACUGCCUUCGAUACUGGAAGACUUGAGUCCGGGAGAGGUGAGUGGAACUGCGAGUGUAGAGGUGAAAUUCGUAGAUAUUCGCAAGAACACCAGUGGCGAAGGCGGCUCACUGGCCCGGUACUGACGCUGAGGUGCGAAAGCGUGGGGAGCAAACAGG